rnacentral:lncRNA from 1 species
GUCAUACAUGAUAAAUAAAUGUAAGACAAAGACUACAAUCAGUACCAUAAAAAAGUAUAUCAUAGACAUGUUUGAUCCGAGACGGAAGGUUCCAGAGUAAGUGACAACUAAGCAGAGAUCUUAAAGAUGUGGGAACACCUACAUGUCUAUGUUCAGAAGCUGCCUUGAUGCCACAUGCGGGAGGCUGGAAACGCUGAAGGAUGACCACUGCUCAGCAGCAGUCUACCAGUGAUGGAUGAGAGUUGGUGCACAAAUACCCCAGCUCCCUUGCCUCUCAGUUUGGAUAAUCCUGAAAAGACCCAGCAAGAAAUGAUUCCAAGAUCACCUAG